CCAAACUUGGUCAUUUAGAGGAAGUAAAAGUCGUAACAAGGUAACCGUAGGUGAACCUGCGGUUGGAUCAUUAAAAAGUGUUUGGUUUUCGUAACCAUCUACACCGUGUGCUAUAUAUAUUGUCCUUUCUUUGGGGGUCUAGAAAUGUCGGACAGUCUGAUCGACCGUGUCGAAAGUCCUUAUCAUGCCAUGAUGACGGCCUCCACCCCCAGCCUUCUGCCCGUCGAGCAGUUUCCAAGUUUCCGGUGGUUACGUUGCUUCGCAAGAGGCAAUCUAGCCAACGGGCGUUCAUUCGCCCGUCAGAUCGGGUCUCCUCUUUCUUCCGUCCCCCAAAGGCUUUUGCAACCUGGGGAGUUUUCUUCGGGUUGCAAUCGUAGUAUCAACUUUUUAGCCAACUUCUUUUGACAAUUCUUAACUUCAAACAAAAUUGAAAACAACUUUUGACAACGGAUCUCUUGGCUCUCGCAUCGAUGAAGAACGCAGC
rnacentral:misc_RNA from 1 species